UACGUAGGGUGCAAGCGUUGUCCGGAACUAUUGGGCGUAAAGAGCUCGUAGGCGGUUUGUCGCGUCUGCUGUGAAAACUCAGGGCUUAACCCUGAGCCUGCAGUGGGUACGGGCAGACUUGAGUGCGGCAGAGGAGACUGGAAUUCCUGGUGUAGCAGUGAAAUGCGUAGAUAUCAGGAGGAAUACCGAUGGCGAAGGCAGGUCUCUGGGCUGACACUGACGCUCAUGCACGAAAGCGUGGGGAGCAAACAGG
rnacentral:rRNA from 1 species